rnacentral:rRNA from 1 species
AACGAACGCUGGCGGCAGGCUUAACACAUGCAAGUCGAGCGCAUCCUUCGGGGUGAGCGGCGGACGGGUGAGUAACGCGUGGGAACGUGCCCUCUUCUACGGAAUAGCCUCGGGAAACUGAGAGUAAUGCCGUAUACGCCCGCAAGGGGAAAGAUUUAUCGGAGGAGGAUCGGCCCGCGUUGGAGUAGGUAGUUGGUGGGGUAACGGCCUACCAAGCCGAAGAUCCACAGCUGGGUUGGGAGGCAGGUCAGCCACACCUGGACGGGGAAGCGGCCCAGACUCCUACGGGAGGGAGGAAUGGUGGAUGGUGGAACAUCGGGGCAACCAUGAUCCAGCCAUGCCGCGUGAUCGAUGAAGGCCUUAGGGUUGUAAAGAUCUUUCAGCUGGGAAGAUAAUGACGGUACCAGCAGAAGAAGCCCCGGCUAACUCCGUG